UGUAUGGUUAAGUGACUAAGCGUACACGGUGGAUGCCUGGGCAGUCAGAGGCGAUGAAGGACGUACUAACUUGCGAUAAGCGCAGAUAAGGCAGUAAGAGCCGUUUGAGUCUGCGAUUUCCGAAUGGGGAAACCCAACUGCAUAAGCAGUUACUGUUAACUGAAUACAUAGGUUAACAGAGCAAACCGGGGGAACUGAAACAUCUAAGUACCCCGAGGAGAAGAAAUCAACCGAGAUUCCGGUAGUAGCGGCGAGCGAACCUGGAUUAGCCCUUAAGCACUCGGUGAAGUAGGUGAACAAGCUGGAAAGCUUGGCGAUACAGGGUGAUAGCCCCGUAACCGACGCUUCAUCGAGCGUGAAAUCGAGUAGGGCGGGACACGUGAUAUCCUGUCUGAAUAUGGGGGGACCAUCCUCCAAGGCUAAAUACUCCUGACUGACCGAUAGUGAACCAGUACCGUGAGGGAAAGGCGAAAAGAACCCUGUGAGGGGAGUGAAAUAGAACCUGAAACCGUGUACGUACAAGCAGUAGGAGCACCUUCGUGGUGUGACUGCGUACCUUUUGUAUAAUGGGUCAGCGACUUAUAUUCAGUGGCAAGGUUAACCGUAUAGGGGAGCCGUAGCGAAAGCGAGUCUUAACUGGGCGCUCAGUCUCUGGAUAUAGACCCGAAACCGGGUGAUCUAGCCAUGGGCAGGUUGAAGGUUGAGUAACAUCAACUGGAGGACCGAACCGACUAAUGUUGAAAAAUUAGCGGAUGACUUGUGGCUAGGGGUGAAAGGCCAAUCAAACUCGGAGAUAGCUGGUUCUCCCCGAAAGCUAUUUAGGUAGCGCCUCGGACGAAUACUACUGGGGGUAGAGCACUGUUAAGGCUAGGGGGUCAUCCCGACUUACCAACCCUUUGCAAACUCCGAAUACCAGUAAGUACUAUCCGGGAGACACACGGCGGGUGCUAACGUCCGUCGUGGAGAGGGAAACAACCCAGACCGCCAGCUAAGGUCCCAAAGUAUUGCUAAGUGGGAAACGAUGUGGGAAGGCUCAGACAGCUAGGAUGUUGGCUUAGAAGCAGCCAUCAUUUAAAGAAAGCGUAAUAGCUCACUAGUCGAGUCGGCCUGCGCGGAAGAUGUAACGGGGCUAAGCAAUACACCGAAGCUGCGGCAAUGUCUUUUAGACAUUGGGUAGGGGAGCGUUCUGUAAGCCGUUGAAGGUGAAUCGUAAGGUUUGCUGGAGGUAUCAGAAGUGCGAAUGCUGACAUGAGUAACGACAAAGGGGGUGAAAAACCUCCUCGCCGGAAGACCAAGGGUUCCUGUCCAACGUUAAUCGGGGCAGGGUGAGUCGACCCCUAAGGUGAGGCCGAAAGGCGUAAUCGAUGGGAAACGGGUUAAUAUUCCCGUACUUCUGACUAUUGCGAUGGGGGGACGGAGAAGGCUAGGUGGGCCAGGCGACGGUUGUCCUGGUUCAAGUGCGUAGGCUUGAGAGUUAGGUAAAUCCGGCUCUCUCUAAGGCUGAGACACGACGUCGAGCUACUACGGUAGUGAAGUCAUUGAUGCCAUGCUUCCAGGAAAAGCCUCUAAGCUUCAGAUAGUCAGGAAUCGUACCCCAAACCGACACAGGUGGUCGGGUAGAGAAUACCAAGGCGCUUGAGAGAACUCGGGUGAAGGAACUAGGCAAAAUGGUACCGUAACUUCGGGAGAAGGUACGCUCUUGAUGGUGAAGUCCCUCGCGGAUGGAGCUGACGAGAGUCGCAGAUACCAGGUGGCUGCAACUGUUUAUUAAAAACACAGCACUGUGCAAAAUCGCAAGAUGACGUAUACGGUGUGACGCCUGCCCGGUGCCGGAAGGUUAAUUGAUGGGGUUAGCGCAAGCGAAGCUCUUGAUCGAAGCCCCGGUAAACGGCGGCCGUAACUAUAACGGUCCUAAGGUAGCGAAAUUCCUUGUCGGGUAAGUUCCGACCUGCACGAAUGGCGUAAUGAUGGCCACGCUGUCUCCACCCGAGACUCAGUGAAAUUGAAAUCGCUGUGAAGAUGCAGUGUACCCGCGGCUAGACGGAAAGACCCCGUGAACCUUUACUACAGCUUGGCACUGAACAUUGAACCUACAUGUGUAGGAUAGGUGGGAGGCUAUGAAGACGUGACGCCAGUUGCGUUGGAGCCGUCCUUGAAAUACCACCCUUGUAUGUUUGAUGUUCUAACUUAGACCCAUUAUCUGGGUUGAGGACAGUGCCUGGUGGGUAGUUUGACUGGGGCGGUCUCCUCCCAAAGAGUAACGGAGGAGCACGAAGGUGGGCUAAUCACGGUUGGACAUCGUGAGGUUAGUGCAAUGGCAUAAGCCCGCUUAACUGCGAGAAUGACGGUUCGAGCAGGUGCGAAAGCAGGUCAUAGUGAUCCGGUGGUUCUGUAUGGAAGGGCCAUCGCUCAACGGAUAAAAGGUACUCCGGGGAUAACAGGCUGAUACCGCCCAAGAGUUCAUAUCGACGGCGGUGUUUGGCACCUCGAUGUCGGCUCAUCACAUCCUGGGGCUGAAGUCGGUCCCAAGGGUAUGGCUGUUCGCCAUUUAAAGUGGUACGCGAGCUGGGUUUAGAACGUCGUGAGACAGUUCGGUCCCUAUCUGCCGUGGGCGUUGGAAGAUUGAAGGGGGCUGCUCCUAGUACGAGAGGACCGGAGUGGACGAACCUCUGGUGUUCGGGUUGUGUCGCCAGACGCAUUGCCCGGUAGCUAAGUUCGGAAUUGAUAAGCGCUGAAAGCAUCUAAGCGCGAAGCGAGCCCUGAGAUGAGUCUUCCCUGACAGUUUAACUGUCCUAAAGGGUUGUUCGAGACUAGAACGUUGAUAGGCAGGGUGUGUAAGCGUUGUGAGGCGUUGAGCUAACCUGUACUAAUUGCCCGUGAGGCUUAACCAUACAACACCCAAGGGGUUUUGUA
rnacentral:rRNA from 1 species